UUACGACCAUAUCAGAUUGAAACACCGGUUCCCGUACAACCACCGAAGUUAAGCAACCUCGAUCCUGGCCAGUACCGAGAUGGGUAAUCGCUUGGGAAUAACAGA